rnacentral:rRNA from 1 species
UACGUAGGGUGCGAGCGUUGUCCGGAAUUAUUGGGCGUAAAGGGCUCGUAGGCGGUUUGUCGCGUCGGGAGUGAAAACCCAGGGCUUAACUCUGGGCUUGCUUUCGAUACGGGCAGACUAGAGGUAUGCAGGGGAGAACGGAAUUCCUGGUGUAGCGGUGAAAUGCGCAGAUAUCAGGAGGAACACCGGUGGCGAAGGCGGUUCUCUGGGCAUUACCCGACGCUGAGGAGCGAAAGUGUGGGGAGCGAACAGG